rnacentral:rRNA from 1 species
UACGUAGGUGGCAAGCGUUGUCCGGAAUUAUUGGGCGUAAAGCGCGCGCAGGUGGUUUCUUAAGUCUGAUGUGAAAGCCCACGGCUCAACCGUGGAGGGUCAUUGGAACCUGGGGAACUUGAGUGCAGAAGAGGAAAGUGGAAUUCCAAGUGUAGCGGUGAAAUGCGUAGAGAUUUGGAGGAACACCAGUGGCGAAGGCGACUUUCUGGUCUGUAACUGACACUGAGGCGCGAAAGCGUGGGGAGCGAACAGG